UCGAUUUUCUUUGAGAUUUUCCAGCCAACUGAGCCCUCUAACAUGUUUUUCUAUAGGGAAUACGACCAAAACCAGUCACAACCAGCCAAAACUGGCCAAAAUUGGCUAGGCCGGGGUGAACCCACACCGUGGGUGGCGACGCCAUGCCGAAACCCCAGAAUUGGCUAAAAAUUAUUUUGGACACUGAUUUUGACUUUUUAGGGUAUUUUUACGUGUGUGACAAGUGUUUUAAAUUCCACA
rnacentral:lncRNA from 1 species